AGAUUGAACGCUGGCGGCAUGCUUUACACAUGCAAGUCGAACGGUAACAGGCCGCAAGGUGCUGACGAGUGGCGAACGGGUGAGUAUGCAUCGGAACUGCCCAGUCGUGGGGGGAUAACGCAGCGGAAGCUGUGCUAAUACCGCAUACGAUCUAUGGAUGGAAAGGCGGGGGACCGAAGGCCUCGCGCGAGUUGGAGCGGCGAUGUCAGAUUAGCUUAGGUUGGUGGGGUAAACGCCCACGAAGGGCGACGAUCGUGUA
rnacentral:rRNA from 1 species